AACGAACGCUGGCGGCAUGCCUAACACAUGCAAGUCGAACGAGACCUCCGGGCUUAGUGGCGCACGGGGGCGUAAAGCGUGGGAACCUGCCCUUAGGUUCGGAACAACUCCCUGAAAGGGGUGCUAAUAACGGAUAAUGUCAUCGGACAAAAGAUUUAUCGGCUUUGGAUGGGGCCGCGUUGGUUUAGCGAGUUGGUAGGGUAAAAGCAUGUCAAGGCGACGUUCCAUAGCUGGUCUGAGAAGAUGAUCAGCCACACUGGGGCUGAGGCACGGCCCAGACUCCGACGGGGGACAGCAGUGGGUAGUAUUAGACGAGGGAGGAAAGCCUAAUCCAGCAAUGCCGGGUAAGAGAGCAAUGCCGUAGGGUUGUAAAUCUCUUUGACCCGAGAUGAGAGUGACGGUACCGGGAGAAUAAGCGCCGGCUAACUCCGUG
rnacentral:rRNA from 1 species